AAGGGAGUCCCCUCAUCAAAGUACUCUGCAUCUAACUGAAUGACAAUCCUGAUGUCUUGGACCAGGAGUUCAUGGACAUGACUGAGGCCACUGCAUUGAGUGCUAUCGAGAAAACAAAGGUGGGCAUCUGUGUGUCCAGAGAUACGCCAGGUUGAUUCAAAGGGUGGUCAUGGAGUUGGAUGCACCUCAACUCUUGAGAAAAGCCCAAAACUUAAAGACAGAACUGCUCCUGUAAAGAAAGCUCACCGUUGUUGUGCACGUGAGGUGGUUAGCUCCAGGUGAGAACACAUUUAAAUCUCACACUUGUUCUCCUGCAUUUUGGAGGCUCAAUUUCCAGGAACAAAUCACAGCAUUCAUUGUUGCGCACUCUGUAACUGCCAUAAGCCCAUUUUUCCUUUUUCUCUCUGUACAUGUUCUCUGAUUGGCAGCAUUUUUCAAUUUUUUUUUAUUUAUUUUUUUGAAGAGAUGUAGAGUUAUAGAGUCUAAAUAGUCCCACUUGGGCUGUGUGGAACAGCAUUUUCAGUUUAAUUCAGUUGAAUGUGUGUUGAAUCCUACUAAGAAUCCUGUUUUGAACCAAGAUGUCACAAUAUGAUCAGGGCUGGAAUUUUUUGUCAAUCACUGUUAUUUUUGUGGCUCUUGAAUAAAGGUUUUGACAUGCAAGUGGUCCUUUUUGUCUUUUAGUAAUGGGGAAUGUUAAUAGGAAGGUGUUUGCUAAUCCAGUAACUUAUUUUAAAGUUAAUGGAAACUAACAUUACGUCAAAUUGUUUUGUUAUAAUUGUUGUUUAAUUGAAUCUUGACAUCAGAGGCCUUAAGCAGAAUGUUUUGUAUUGUUCUCUUCCAAGAUGGUUACUUGUAACAUUUUUCAAAAGAAAAGGCCUAAUUCCUAUGCCAUGACUGAUUCGACAAAACACUGAAAAACUGACAUAUUUCAGUAGAGGAGUAAUGUCAGUUCAAUUCUUUACCUCAGGGGUCUCAAACUUAAAUGAGCUGUGGGCACUGUCAUCUCAUUGGAGGGCCACUAGUG